rfam:Schistocephalus solidus strain NST_G2 genome assembly, scaffold: SSLN_scaffold0004663
AGCCUCAUAGCUCAGUUGGCUAGAGCAUUGAGUGUACUAAAGCCUUCCCCUUGCUGGCGUGGGUUCGAAUCCCACCGACGUUG